UACAGAGGGUGCAAGCGUUAAUCGGAGUUACUGGGCGUAAAGGGCGCGUAGGCGGAUCUUUAAGUCAAUUGUGAAAUCCCUGGGCUUAACCUAGGAAUUGCAGUUGAUACUGGAGGUCUUGAGUAUGGUAGAGGAAAGUGGAAUUCUCGGUGUAGUGGUUAAAUACGUAGAUAUCGAGAAGAACAUCAGUGGCGAAGGCGACUUUCUGGACCAAUACUGACGCUGAGGCGCGAAAGCGUGGGGAGCAAACAGG
rnacentral:rRNA from 1 species